rnacentral:tRNA from 1 species
GGCCGGGUGGCCGAGUGGCUUAGGCAAGGGCCUGCAAAGCCCUGUACGCGGGUUCGAUUCCCGCCCCGGCCUCCC